CCGAGUUUCCAAAACUCCCAACCCAUGUGAACCUUACCAAUCGUUGCCUCGGCGGGAUUGCCCCGGCGCCCACUCCCGGGCCCGGACCCAGGCGCCCGCCGCAGGACCCCUCAACUCUUGUUUAGCGGAUGCAUCUUCUGAGUGAGAAAACAAAUAAAAUCA
rnacentral:misc_RNA from 1 species